rnacentral:rRNA from 1 species
UAGUAACGGCGAGUGAAGAGGGAAAAGCUCAAAUUUUGAAUCUGGUGUCUUUGACUCCCGAGUUGUAAUCUAGAGAAGUGUUUUCCGCGUUGGACCGUGUACAAGUUCCCUGGAACGGGGCGUCAUAGAGGGUGAGGAUCCCGUAUAUGCCACGGACUACCAAUGCUCUGUGAUACACUCUCAACGAGUCGAGUUGUUUGGGAAUGCAGCUCAAAAUGGGUGGUAAAUUCCAUCUAAAGCUAAAUAUUGGCGAGAGACCGAUAGCGAACAAGUACCGUGAGGGAAAGAUGAAAAGCACUUUGGAAAGAGAGUGAAACAGUACGUGAAAUUGUUGAAAGGGAAGCGUUUGAAGUCAGUCACGUCUGUCGGAAUUCAGCCUGGCUUCUGCCUGGUGUACUUUCCGUCCGACGGGUCAGCAUCAAUUUUGAUCGAGGGAAAAAGACAUGAGGAAUGUGGCUGUCUUCGGGCAGUGUUAUAGACUCGUGUUGUAUGUCUCGGUUGGGAUUGAGGAACGCAGCGCGCCUAUUGGCCGGGGGUUCGCGCCCCUCGGCACGCGCUUAGGA